ensembl:lncRNA
CUAGUGACAGCUGUGCUAAUGAGAUAACUCUUAUUAAUUCCUUGCUUACAUGGGAAGGAACUCACCCAGUCUAGAUAAAAUUAUAGUCUUAACUCAGCAAACUUUUUAAAUGCGAAAGCCAAAAGGAGGCCCGACUAGAAGUGGAGGCAUGGGAAAUCUCCUUGGAGCUGGGCCCAUGAGGGAAUCCACUGCUCUGAAUAGGAUGACUUCUGAAGGAUUUGCCAGCUUUGAAAUGGAUCACAGGGAGAUGGGAAUGGAAAAGCAGAGAAACAUGACAGAAACGUGCUCAGCAGUACUCGUGGGACUGGAGACUAACAGAGCUGACAGCAACAAAGUGCAAAAUCAGGGAGUCGCCUUUACUGGAAGCCUUUCAAAGGAACAGAAUCUCAGCUCUGUUCUUUCCUAAUUUUCCUUUCAUCUGAAGGCCAGCGCUGUAAAGCUGUGACUGUCUGGAGCAGUAGAGCAGCUGGUGUUACCUGUCAGUACAGCUGCUGCUUGUUGCUAUUUUACAAAACAAGUGGUCUCACCCAUGCAACGCAACCAAAUUAAUUGGAACGAUUGAGACGAACCAAAGCAAAGCCUGAAGUGGAACCCACUGCCAUCAUUUCAAGACCUUUUAUUUCAAGUAACCACGUGGGGAACAUGAUGGUGAUUGCGGCCAGUGUGGAGUGGUUGCCUUCGUCCAACAUGGGCGGAGUGCUGCUGAGCCUGCAGGGCUGAGCCAAAGCUGCUACAGAGACUUCCCA